GACGAACGCUGGCGGCGUGCUUAACACAUGCAAGUCGAACGGUGAAGGGACCGGUUUUUGCUGGUUCUGGAUGAGUGGCGAACGGGUGAGUAACACGUGAGUAACCUGCCCCCUUCUUCUGGAUAACCGCAUGAAAGUGUGGCUAAUACGGGAUAUUCUGCGCCUGCUGCAUGGUGGGUGUGGUCAAGAUAUGGUUUCGGGGGGGGAUGGGCUCGCGGCCUAUCAGCUUGUUGGGGGGGUGAUGGCCUACCAAGGCGGUGACGGGUAGCCGGCCUGGGAGGGUGGACGGUCACACUGGGACUGAGACACGGCCCAGACUCCUACGGGAGGCAGCAGUGGGGAAUAGUGCACAAUGGGCGCAAGCCUGAUGCAGCGACGCCGCGUGAGGGAUGGAGGCCUUCGGGUUGUAAACCUCUUUCGCCAGUGAAGCAGGCCUGUCCCUUGUGUGGGUGGGUUGACGGUAGCUGGAUAAGAAGCGCCGGCUAACUACGUG
rnacentral:rRNA from 1 species